UCCUUUUAGAUAUGUACGUUCAUACCAAUUACAAAAUGUCUAUUAAUGACGCUCUAAUUAAUUAUUAAAUACUCAAGCUUUCAUUAAAUGUACACAUUCGUUAUAUAAGUUCAGUAGUACGUAAAUGGUUCAUCAACUGAUGAAUAGGUACUCAAAAUUAUUAAUUAGUCAUGAAAUGUAAUGCUUUUGGAUGAUUCAUACAUAUACUCAUUACGAUAAUGUGGACAGCUUAAUAAUGUACACUAAAUUGUAUAAAACACCACCAUUCCGUUUUUGACCCACCAGUGCUAUUUGUGCGCCAGAAGAGAUAAUUAAGUUAAACAUACAAACUCAAAUACGAAACAAAUAUGUACCGGCUAAUCCUUCUCACAGUCACUAUAACAAGCGUAGUUUUCCAGUGCUACGCUGCGUCUACUUCAAAACCGGGCCCGGUCACCUCGGUUGUCAGUAGAUUCCUGAGGAUUCAGGACUCUGAUGACUAUAAAGACACCAUCGGCGAGGCGGCAGAGGACCUCCAUACAAAAGAUUUAGAGCAACUGGGAUCACUUGCUUACGCUUUUAGAUAUCAGUUAAGAGAGGCGAUAGAAGAACUCGCGCUGCAAGGAUUAACGUAUUUAAAAUCGAUUUUUAAUGAUCUUAAAGUAAAACUGUUAAAAAGUCUUGGCAAGUAUACUCUCUCCGAUUUGUUCCACGCUACGUUUGAUGGGGUAACAGAUUUUGUAAAAAAUUCCUCUGUAGACAUGCCAGUGGAUGUCGAGGAGGAUCAUGCCAGACCCACCUAUGAUUAUGGGCAUUAUCCAUACUUUCAUAAUCCGUACGUUAUGCGAUCAGGUUCAGGUUA